CCAUCUCCGCCAACAAUGCGCCGCCGCCCCGCGCCGCGACCACCGGCCCCCGCCCCUCCGCCGCGUGCCGCCACUGCCGGCCAACGCCGCCGCGCCCACCCCUACCCGACGUGCCUCCAUCCCUGCGGUUUUCCACCGCCGGCGACAAUCAAAGCCGGCUCCGCACCUUCCCCAACUCAUCUUUCCCCUGCUCCUCUGUCGCUGCCGCUCUCCAUCGGCCGACCAACUCCCUCGAGUCAGCGCCGCCUCCUCCAUCUGGUUCCUGCUCGAUCUCCUCCAGGUACAGAUCCUCCACAAUCUCGCGCGACGGGAGAGGAGCCUCCGCGUGCUUCUUGUCGGGCGACAGCGCAGCUGUGCGCCCCUGACGCCGCCGCUCUUCCACGUGAGGAGAUGCUGCCUGCGGCUCGGCCGCCCCAACCCUAGGGCCGACGUCGUGGUCAUCGUCAAGAUCCCCUUCCCCUCUGUCAGCCAUCUUCUCCUCCCCGGCCGACGUCGUCGCCUUCGAGGACGAGGACGACGGUGGUGGCUGCGCGCUUCCCGUCGGCGGAUUCCACCACUACCCCCAGGUUGGGACUGGUGCGCGGGCGUCGACAUCUGUGUGCCCGAGAUCAUCAGAGUUGCAUCAGGCUGGCGCACAUCCUCCGCUACACCCCGACGCUGGAUGCGUCGACCUCAUCCCCUUGCCGCAGGAGAUAGAGGGCCCCCUGGACUGGGACACCGGCGAGAUGGAGGGCAACUUCAGUGCUGACCAGAGAGCCAAGGUGGUGGCCGUGCUCUACAUGGUGCCCGGCGACCUUAACGGCCAGUUCCACGCCGAGAAGAUGGGCUACCACGAGAUGGUCCUGCUCCGCCCCCAGGGCGCCGCUGAGGUGGUCGUGCUGGCUGCCGAAUUCGAUAAUACUCAUAUUUCAUCCCCUGCGUCAGCUCAUUGGGGGAGUUCUUCUCUACAGCACUUGCAUGUUAGGUCAGUUUCAUUUUGAGACCUCGGAUGUUUCUCUUGUGAAACCAUAUCCGGGUCUGUACAACAAGAUAUUGGAUCAGAAUGCACAUUGACUAGAUAUGUGUUGAAUAUCAGAGACAAUACAAAAUCGAGUCCAUUACAUCUCAGAUUGCUGUCUGGUUUAUUUUGGUGACAUCAUCCUGGUAUUUAUAUUCAAAGAAGGAUAAAUUAACCUUAUCCAGGUACACAUGAGUAUUUAUAUUCAUCUCAGAUUGUUCACAUUUAACUUCAGGUAGCAGAAAAUCAUGCAGCACACACGUUCAAUUAGCCACCUACUUAUGCUUGCAUAUCUUUCCGCGGAGUACUGCACAUCCUGAUCUGCGUCUACUUGACGAGCUGAUGCCACAGAUCAUGUCGAUUUGGUUACCAUUGAGUAGUUGGAGAGCUACCUUAAGACACACGGUGUACCAAUGGUAGUCAUAUAUAUCUCAUAACAGGGCUUUCCUUGAUCAGUGUUGUAUAAAGAUAUGGCCACUGAAUUUGGCGUGCCUGCCUCUUUGUUUUUCCGAAUAAUGUGAGAACUUCUAGCCUUCUAGAACAAGCAUAGUAGCUUAUUUUAACUUUGUCUAAUAAAUAUCCUAUAUGGUCAAUCUAGGAUGAUAUUGGCAGCUCUCCAUUGUACUCUGUCCGUACUACUUUUGCCUUUUUUUCUUCUGACUCUAUUGCUCUGCUCCAUACCACAACUCUUAAAUUGGACUUUUCGAACAUUUGACAAACAUUAGGGAAUUCAGUCCUGGUACAUUUCCUAGAACCGUGACCUUUAUUUCUUAGUGGAUUUUAAGUUUCAGUCACCCCUAUGGCUAUUUUAAGAAAGAAAGAAAAUAUUAGGUUAUCAGGAAUUUCGCCUCUCCCAUCUCAUUGUGAUUGUGAGCAUGCUCUUCACCUCUGCCAUAUCAUUACCAGUAUGCUCUUAAUGCACUUCAGCAAGUUCAAAUUUCAGUGCGUACUGGAAAUCUCUACCCACUUCUGAGCAAUUCAUUUUGUCAGAAGAUGAUAGUACACGACAGAACACGCCUGCUUCUAGCAAACUGUUGUGUUGUUUCCCUUGGAGGUUAGCUAGCCAUAGAUACUCGUCGGAUGGAAAACUCAUACAUACAAACCUAGCCGACCAUCAUGGACACCGGUUAAUCCUAUUUGGUGAUUGUAGGAAAGUGACGAUCUUUCAAGCCAACAACCAGGGGCAUGAGUUCACGUCUUCAGGUAUGUGUAUGCACAUGAUCGUCUAAAGUAGAUGUUUAUACAUCUCCUGGCCAGUUUGAUAUUUGGUCUCUCAUACUAGGAGUCGUUAAUAAGCUUCAACUAAUGAGAUGGAACGAUAUUGCUUUUUUAAGCACUUAACCACAGGAAGAAACUGUUUUGUGACUAUCGGCAUCGAAUAGAAACGAAUGAAGUAUCGAUACUGGAAAAAUGGAUAAUCAGGUGUCUCUAACAUGUGCUAGCAUAUAUUGUUUGCAUCUCAAGAUGACCCGGUACACAAAUUUUCUUUCUCUGCGGUACGAUGAUCUUAAUAGAUCAGUAACCUUUAUGAGAAACAAUGUGUUUGUUAUUUUGAUUAUCAUGAUGAUCGUCACUUUGUCAGGUACCAAUGUAUCUUUUGGACGUUGUAUGUUUGUUAUUUUGUCAGUAUUAUAUAUAUUCUUGAACUUUA